rnacentral:lncRNA from 1 species
CCCCCCACCGCAGGACCUUCGCAGGGAGACACCCUGUCGCAGCAGCAUCCUCAUGCUUACACAUCCUGCUAAUACUAAAAAUGAGGCAAGACAGGAUAUCCAGAGAUUGAAGGUGAAGCUUGCCGAGAGGUGACUCAGUGAAAUGGAUUCUCAGUGCAUCUGGCCCUCAGAAGUUAUGACUGCUCCUUGCAGCACUUCUAGAAAACCAAUGGCAGACAGAACUGCCCGCCCACGUCCUGGAGCACCCGCCCCAGGGAGCAUGAUGAGACAGCUUCCUAACUGCUGGGCGGCCUCUGAAUGCUGUGACCCUCUGAGACAUGUCACCUGGCAGGUUCUCCAAGAGGUGGUUUGUCCCACAAGCUACAGGAGGCCAGAGCAGGACCAGCCUGACCACAGCUGCAAGCCUUCUUGACAAGGAGAAAAAGAAACUGAGAGCAAAAAGCUGCUGAACAUUCCCAGCAGAGGUGCCCAGAUAAAUUAUCGAACACACAUGUUCACAGCAGCACGAUAACAACCAGAGGUGGAAACAUCCCUUGUGACCAUCAAUGAAUGAGUGGCAGAUCCAUACCACAAAAUAUUAUUCAGUCAUAAAAAGCAACAAACACCAUAGCGCUGACACCUGCUAUGACAAAAAUGACCCCAAAAAUCAUUGUGAUCUGUGAAAGAAGCCAAAUACAAAAGAUCCCAUAUUGCAUGAUUCCAGUUAGAUGAACUAUCUAGAAUAAGUAAAUUCGGGGAUCCCUGGGUGGCGCAGUGGUUUGGCGCCUGCCUUUGGCCCAGGGCGCGAUCCUGGAGACCCGGGAUCGAAUCCCACAUCGGGCUUCCGGUGCAUGGAGCCUGCUUCUCCCUCUGCCUAUGUCUCUGCCUCUCUCUGACUUUCUCUCUCUGUGACUAUCAUAAAUAAAUAAAAAUUAAAAAAAAAAAAAAGAUUAGAAUAAGUAAAUUCAUAGAAACAGAAAGCAAAUUGGUGGUUGCCAGGGAUUGGGGAGAGGGGCUUCAGGGAACAGGGCAUGACUCCUUAAUGGGUAUGAGGUUUCCCCUUGGGGUGAUAAAAAUGUUCUGGAACUAGUUAGAGGUGAUGGUUGUACUAACAUUGCAAAUUGUACUAAAUGCUACUGAACUAUAUACUUCAAAAUGGUUAAUUAAAAAAAUAUAUAUAUAUAUAUAUUUGAAGAUUAUUUAUUUUAAAGAAAGAGAGCAAGCACAUGAGCAGAGGGAGGGGCAAAGGGAGGAGAGAGAAUCCAUAAGCAGACUCCUCAUCGAGUGGGGAGCCCCAUGCAGGGCUUGAUCCCAGGACCCUGAGAUCAUGACGUAAGCCAAAAUCAAGAGUUGGCUCCUUAACCAACUGAGCCACCCGUGUGUGUGUGUGUGUGUGUGUGUGUGUGUGUGUGUGUGUGUGUAGUGUGUGUGUGGUAAAAUAUAUAUAACAUGAUAAUGACUAUCAGACAUUCACAUUGCUGUGCAACCAUCACUCCCAUCCCUCUCCAGAACCCCAACAUAGACCAAAACAGAAACUGUCCCCCUCCCCCAAAAAAAGAAACUCUGUCCCCAUCAAACACUCACUCCCCCUCCCCUUUCUCCAGCUCCUGGCAAUCACCAUUCUACUUUCUGUCUCUGUGAAUUUGAUGACUCUAGGUACUUCGUGUAAGAGGAAUCACAUAGCACUUUCCCUUUUGUGACAAAAUGGUUAAUUUUAUAUUAUGUGAAUUUCAUCUCAAUUAAAAGAAAGAAAGGAAGGGAGGACGGAAAGGUGGGAGGAAGGAAGGAGGAAGAAUCCAUCCUAGCCACCUCUUUACCUUGACCAUUUUAGCCAAAGACAGAAUCUGAGUCAGGGUGACCAUAGCCCCUUCUGAAUGCACCCUGCACCCUCCACUGUCAUCCCCUAGGAAUGAGACCAAACUGGCAGGACAUCAAAAUCAACUGUGAAAAAAAAAAAUCAACUGUGGGCUGGGGGUGGGGGUGGGGAGUGAUGGGCACCUCUUCAGGGGCCAAGAGGUGCUGGUGGGAGGAAAUGCUGUCCUGGGCCUCAGACGCUGGCUUUGGGCACAAAUCUCACAUUCAAGUGCCUGAGAAAAGUGGCUCGCUGUGGUUUCCUCCCUAAGUGUUAGAAAGCGGACAGCUCAUUCCUGCUAAUGGAAAGGUGAGUAUCCGCUUCCUGGAUUUUGUGAAUGGGGUAAAACCCCAGGAGAGAAAGCUCCCACACAGCAUCACUAAUUGCACCCCAUCCAUUUGUUUUCUGAGUGUAACUUCAGGUUAAUUAUUUAUGACGGGGCUCCAAAUGAAGUGUUAGUAAAAGACUGGCUUCUUCCUCUAAUUGCCAGUUUUCUGAGAAGCAGCUCAGCCUGGAGGGAUUUUGUGAUUAGGAUGAGAGGAAAUCUAAGAAAGUGAAGUGCACAUUGGCCUGGCCCAAAAGAACAGCCAGAGUACCAAGAAUGAAAAGGAAAAGUGCAUUAUUAAUAACCAGAAUAUGGAGGGACGCCUGGGUGCCUCAGUGGUUGAGCAUCUGCCUGUGACUCAGGGCUUGAUCCUGGAGUCCCAGGAUCGAGUCCGGCAUUGGGCUUCCUGCACGGAGGCUGCUUCUCCCUCUGCCUAUGUCUCUGCCUCUCUGUGUGUCUCAUGAAUAAAUAACUAAAAUCUUUAUUUUAAUUUUUUUAAAUUUAUUUAUGAUAGUCACACACACACACACACACACACACACACACACAGAGGCAGAGACAUAGG